AUUGAACGCUGGCGGCAGGCCUAACACAUGCAAGUCGCACGAGUGGCGGACGUGUGAGACAUGUCUGGGAAACUGCCUGAUGGUAGGGGAUAACUACUGGAAACGGUAGCUAAUACCGCAUCCCAUCGGAUGUGCCCCGAGGGGAUUAGCGAGUAGGGGGGGUAAAGGCUCACCUAGGCGACGAUCCCUAGCUGGUCUGAGAGGAUGACCCGCCACACUGGAACUGAGACAUGGUCCAGACUCCUACGGGAGGCAGCAGUGGGGAAUAUUGCGCAAUGGGCGCAAGCCUGAUGCAGCCAUGCCGCGUGUAUGAAGAAGGCCUUCGGGUUGUAAAGUACUUUCAGCGGGGAGGCGUUACCCGCAGAAGAAGCACCGGCUAACUCCGUGCCAGCAGCCGCGGUAAUUC
rnacentral:rRNA from 1 species